rnacentral:rRNA from 1 species
GAUGAACGCUAGCGGCAGGCCUAAUACAUGCAAGCUGAACGGUAAAUGUUGUAGCAAUACAAUAUGAGAGUAGCGUAAGGGUGCGUAACACGUAUGCAAUCUACCCGCAACAGGAGGAUAGCUCCCCGAAAGGGGAAUUAAUACUCCAUAAGGUCACGAGAAGGCAUCUGAUGGUGAUUAAACUCCAAGGGGUUGCGGAUGAGCAUGCGCAUGAUUAGUUAGUGGGCGGGGUAACGGCCCACCAAGACGAUGAUCAUUAGGGGAACUGAGAGGUUGAUCCCCCAAACUGACGCUGAGAUACGGGCCAGACUCCUACGGGAGGCAGCAGUAGGGAAUAUUGGUCAAUGGGUGAAAGCCAGAAACAGCCAUGCCGCGUGCAGGAACAAAGCCUUCUGGGUUGUAAACUGCUUUUAUCUGGGGAUAAAAUACCCGUGCGCGGGGAAUUGAAGGUACCAGAUGAAUAAGCCACGGCUAACUACGUGCCAGCAGCCGCCGUAACAC